rnacentral:lncRNA from 1 species
UCAGCCGGCUCAGGUGGUGGGUCUGAGGAGCCUCUGAGGGGAAUAGGACUGAGGGAGACAUAGAGCUCCCUAAUGCUGAAUCUCUUCCCUGUGCUGAAGAAAACUCCAGACCUCCCAGCCACUGGAACUAAAAUUGGCAUCCAGAGGUCCGGCCUUCAGAUGAAACGAUCUUCAAGCAAGCAGACACAGCUUGCGCUCCCUCAGGACUGACCAGAGGCCGUGCUUUGGGGAACUCAGACCACUGCGAAAAAUCUGAGAAGUCAUGACCAUUCCAGGACUGAUCUGACCACCCGGGGCGUCCAGCAUGAUCGGUCGGGGUCCUGCCCGCACCCUCUCACCCCUCUGCGCAGAGGCAUGGUGGGAGAGGCCCCUGCCCACCCCGGAUGAGCCUGAGACUCCAGCCUGAAAUGAAGUUGCUGAAAUGAGCCCUUUCCCCAGCCGUUCAGCAGCCUAGCUGUUUUACCACUGAAAUAAAGUGUCCAAUUUAUCCUGCCAUUUUGAGGAAGCUGUUUUCA